rnacentral:tRNA from 1 species
UAAAACUUAAAACUUUACUACCAGAGGUUCAACUCCUCUUCUUAACA